UCAGCUUCUAAGUAGGCAAAAAGAGAAGUCAGUGACAGUAACGCACACUUUCACUCUCUACAUCAGAGUUUUUGUAAGAGUUAAUGAAUGAGAUGGCCUUGGCCAUUCAGGAAACCUGUAAGGUAAAAAUAAAAGUGUAAUAACAAGAGAAUUGUUAACAUAAUAAUUACUAGUACAUAUAGGAGCCAUUUUUUUUUACAGUAACUCAGUAUGUCUCUCUCAUUAAUGUACUCGUUCAUCUCACCCUGACACUGUUAUUGAUUUUAUAAUGCUUGUUUUUCACAUCAGCAGACACACCACCUCUCUUUAUGACCAGAUUACUUGUAGAAUUGUUUAACAUCUUACACCAUGGCAAAAGCUGAAUCUAAAAGGUCAAGAUAAUCUCUGGGCGUAGAGGUUCUGACAGAGCACUGGGCCCAGAUUGGGGCACAAUGCUUCUGCAGAUUGGCGCAAAAUGCUGUCAAUCAUUUUUCUGUGUUUCACCUCAAACGACUCUGAAAGACAGGGAACAACCAAGACACUAUUGAAAUGAACACUGAAGACUUUAUAAACAUCUUUUUGCAUUAUUUGUGUGAUUUCUUGCUGUGAGAAAUUCUCUCUAAAAGUUUUUACUUGCUGCUGUUAUUACCACCCUGAGAAAGUUUUUAUUCUAGCUCUAACACACCUAACUAACUUGAACUUUGAUCGUUUUCUCUCAUGAUUUGUGUCACUUGCCCUUGAUAAAUAAGUUUUAGGGCAAAAUUCAUGCCAACCUCUGAUUAGUCCUUUGUUGACUCAUUUGAAGUUUUUUAACCAACUUUGUCUGUUUAAUCAUUUGUUUUCGAGUCAUGAACAUGUCUUCAUUCUUAUCUAAAUAAAGUGUGCAGUUAGUAUUAGAAGUCUAGUAAAUGUUCUAGUAAAAACUAUUACCUAUACUACAGAACAGUUAAUACACCAACUGCCUUUGAGAAAACACUGAAGUUCCUCCAUUUCACCAAACACAAAAAUCUUUUUUGUACAUCUUGUUUACCAAAUUCUAAUAUUUAUGACCAGUUUUGUCUGGUUAAUCAUAUUUCUUUUUUUAAAUUUAUGAACAACUUUUCAUUUCUCUCUAAUGGAAGUCAAUGAAAUCCUUCGACCUGAUUGAAGAAACCACUUAAACUCUAUCACCCUCAGAUUUUUAUUCCUUUAUUUACAUUCUACUAUAAGGUUUAACUAUUACUUUUCUAAUGCAGGAUCAAUAAUUAACAUUUGGCAGAUGCCCUUACCCAGAGCGACUUACAUUUUUACCUCAUUUUAUACAACUGAGGUAUAAGGGCCUUGCUCAGGGGCCCAGCAGUGGCAGCUUGUUGUACCUGGGACUCAAAACUACAACCUACUAACCAGUAUUCCAACUCCUUAACCCCUAAGCUACCACAGAGCAAACCCAGCUUAAACUAUACGUUCAUAAGGAUUACUAAAUCAAGACUAAAAUCAUAUGAACCUCAAUAAUGACAAAAGAUGGAUGAGUUCAAAACAGUCAUUUUUUAUUAAAAAUACAAUGAGCUUACAAAUCUCAAAACUGAAAGGUGACAAGGAAAUCCAGCAUGCAGUAAAAUUCUCUAUGCUGGAUAUAGUGGUAGUGAAGCCCCUGUUCAUCUGACACAGCACCAAGUACCUGAGUGAUAUCCCGGGUCCAAUCAAUGAACCAUCUGGAUCUGGAUCUCCUGCAGUUUAACAACCUAUCUGAUUAAACUAAACAGAUCCUACUUUAAGAGCUGGACUUUUCAGUUAAUUUAAUCAAAAUCCAUUAGAAAACAUGUUCUAUGUGAUUUGUACAUAAAUGCCAGUUCACACUAUACCGAGAAAGAAAUGUCAAGUCAAAGUUGCUGCUAUUUUUAUUUAAAUAAUGGUUAGAGAUUUAGUUGUCUACACAUGGACAAACACACAAAGAUCUUGAAUUUCUUGUUGAAUUUUCAUUACCGUUUUCACUCUUGAUGUGUCAUUGAAUUGUUGUUUUCAGAUAUGUGAAUGUUGAAUUUGUUAGAUUUUGUUGUUGAGAACAUAUUUGAAUGUUGAAUUCAUGUUGAAUUGUUGUUUAAAACUAUACAUUGACAAGGAUUACUAAAAUAAGACUAAAAUCAUAUGAAUCUUAAUCAUGACAAAAGAUGGAUAAGUUUAAAACAGUCAUUUUUAUUAAAUGUACAAUGAGGUUACAAAUCCAUGCUCAACAAUACACUUGAAAAAGUAUCUGAUGUUUUCACUUAUAUUUAUUCUUAAAAUUAUCUAUUAACUCCAGUUAUGGUGUAGGGCCACAUCUGGAGAUGAUUCAAGAAAAAUACAUUCCACUUUUCUUCAUAAAUCUUUUGUCUUAGUGAACAAAUAAAUGAAACACAAGGGGGCGCAAUGCAUUUGAAAAAUAAUCCUGAUUCUCCAAUAACAGCACUGUAUGAAAUGUUUAUUCCUCUUAUAACACAGACAUCUGGAAAAACUACUAAUUUAUUAUAAAUUACGGAUAAACUUUUUCUCUCUUUAUAGUUCCACAGCUGUUGCUUAAGGUAGUAAGUGGUGUGUCAUGUUGGUAUGUUUAAAACACAGGAGAUUUAGUUCAAAUCCAUUAAAAAAGUUUUCAUUGAAAUUUUAUUAGAAUUGUCGUUUUUAGACAUUAAAACCUUGAAUUUUUAAAUGUUGAAUUCUCACUGUGUUGUUUAAAAAAUUUGAAUUUUACAUUUUCAUUGAAUUUUUAUUAGAUAUUUGAAAAUAGACUUUUUAAACUGUUGUUUUCAGACAUUUGAAUGUUGUUUUUUGAUUGUCUUCUCAUUUUCACUGAUUUCUUUGUUGAAUUUGUAUCAAUUGAUCAUGUUUACAGAUUGCAUAGAUUUCAUUGCAGACUCUUACAGAUCAUUGAAUUCCAGCUGUAUUUUAUACAAUUCCAGCUGUGAAGUUUUAUAGUGAAGAAAUUCUCACACAGUGGCCAGAUUCAGGGGCAAUCAGCUCAUCUUUAUCAUUAUAAACAGGAGUUCUGCCUGGCAACAAGAGAACUAAUGCACCGAUUGGUAGAUAAUUACCAAAGGCGGUCCUUAAUGCCUGUUGCUGAUACCGCGAAGUUCAGGAUUUGAGCUUCACGUCGUUCGCCAUUUUAAGUUCAGUAAGUAAAAUUAUUAUGUAGGUAUAAACUUGAAAAAUAUGAUUUUAAUUGUGAAAUUUGUUAGUUUAAAUAUUCAUGGUACAUUUCUAUAAUAAAGGACAACCCAGCCAUCAUUACAAAUUCUCCAAAAACACUUUACAUUACAUUACAAAGAACAUCAGCUAUUACAAAUGCACCAGGACACAUCUGUGACUUCAUACAUGAAUUCAGAUGAAGAGUUUUACUCUUUUUCUUCUGAAAUUUCCAUUUCAAGUGUAAAAGUAUACACUUUUCAGAUUCAUUUAUUUUACCAAACUGAGUAAUUUUUUUAUCUGUUGUAUGAUUUUCUAAAUUCAACCUUAUAGAUCAGCCACAUGUCUCCAGCAUAAAAAAGAUGAACAUUUCUGAGACAUAUACGUCCUCAAAAACACGUAAAGCAGUCUAAACAUGACCGAAAUAACUUUGUUUAUGAUGCAUGGUGAUUGUCAGCUCCAUGCUGGCAACAAAUUCAUGAAUUUCUCCAUUUCUAUAAAUCAUAGGACCAUUAGUUAAUUGAAAAAUAUUAAAAAUUCGUAUCAAACUGAGUCAUCUUGAGAAAUUAAAUGCUGUAAAUGUUUGCGUGAAAUCAAAAAAUAUGUAAAACCUGUAAAUGAAAAAAAAAAAGAUUCUAAAAUGACAACUUUUAAGUGUCUGCCAAAUAAUUUGUUUAAAAACUUUAGGAGACACUCACCAAUUUCACGGAAGUUGUUUCAAGCCGACGACUGACACGAAAAAACCUAAUCUGAUUGUUUUUUUUUGUCUGUUGCCAGCCAAUCAUCUAGUAACAGAUGGCAAAAGGAUUUUCCUGCACCCUGUGUGAAGCUUUUCUAAAGAAUCUCACAUGACUCUAUUUGACUCAUCUCCACAAACCAGGAAACGGUGUAUCAAGUCAUUUCUUCAUUCUAAGAUUCAUGAUCUGUUUUGUCUAGUUAAUCAUUAUAUUUUACUUAUGAACAACUUGUCCUAUGUUCACCAGGAUUACUAAAACAAGACUAAAAUCAUAUGAAUCUCAAUAAUGACAAAAGAUGGAUGAGUUCAGAACUGUCAUUUUUAUUACAAGUUCAAUGAGUUUACAAAUCUCUGAACACCAGACUAAUAUGGAAAUUUUGAGGGCUGCAAGGGGAGGUUUCUGUUCCUGUGCUCUCUUCAUCUUCUUAUGUCGAUCUUUCCAUUCGAUGCUCUUUCGUUGUUGUUGCUUCAUCAUUGACAUUGUGAACAUUUUCUUCUCAAAUUUAGUUAUACAGUGUAACAAAUAUACAAGGCUCGGUGGAAUGGGAUACAUACAGAACAAAAAAAUGGUAAGAAUGAAAUACAACUUGUGUAUUUAUACAUAAUUUUAUAUUUUUCUGUGUGUUGUAUCUUGUAAGUGACUAAUCUGCCGUAACAUAAGAAUUUCCCUCAUGGGAUCAAUAAAGUAUAUCUAUCUAGCUAUCUACAACUUAUAUUUCUGGUGUUCAGACCCAGGGUAGAAACUGUUGAGAUAUUGUAGAACAGAAACCAUAAAUCUGUGAAGGAUCUCCAGGGAAUGUAAUGCAGCCCCGAUAUAUGCCAAUCAUUUCAUCUUUAGCGUUGAAAAUAGGAGACCCACUGUCUCCACUAUUACCUGCUACAGAUAUUAUAAACUCAUCGGUACAGGAUUGUGCCUUCAUGCCUAAAUUUUGAGGGAGUAUUUUACCAUCCUGCCUCUGAAAAUUCCAGUUCUGAGAUAAAGUGUAAAAGUAUAUAUUGUCAGUAUCCUUCACGUUACCAAUCUGACUAUGUAGACCAGGACCAAGUGGAGUAGUAUCUCCGAACAAUUUAAUAAAGGCUUGAUCUCUGUUCGGAUCCGUCUUACAGGAUUUUGUGAAGCAAGCCUUAUAGAUCAGUGCUUUGUUUUCCGUAGAGAAAAUACUCAGUAUCUCUGAGUUUGCUGCGUCCUCAGUGACAUGUAGGGCAGUAAGGAUAUGCCCGUCCCCGUAGUAACAGCCCAGACCACGAGUGACUGUUUUUGAUGUAAUAAUUUCUAUCAAGCAAGGUUGUUUCGCUCUGAUCAUAGGUUGUAAUUCAUCAUUAUAUUCUUUUAAUGUGUUGUUCAUAAGAAGUAUGGGUCCGUUUGAAUAUUGUAAUUUUUCUAGACAUUGUUUUGUAAUAUCUGGUUUAUGCAAGUAAUAAUUCUGUAAAUGAGUCAUAUUGAUAGCACUGAAAUGAAAUGGAAUGGAACGCUGAAAGAACUGUCCACACGUCCGCGUCCGAAGCGCUGUGUGCGUCCAGGUCAGAGCCAGGGGUUUUUAUAUGCUCGUUUACUCCGCCCCUCAGCCGCAACCCGCUCAGCUGCAUGUACACGUCAUGUUUUCGAGAAUUUUCUCGAGACUUCUAUGGCAUCAAUUUCACGGCAUAAGUAUCAGUGUCAUAAAAAAAUAUAUAAUAUGCGCUAAUUACAUAAUUGAGUACAAAAUGUGAAAAAUAACAAGAAAAACAAACUAAAAGAAAAGAACACAAAAUAAUAGGAAUUGAAAAAAACUAAAUUUUAUUUUCCUUGCCUACUUUCUUACUGGCUAGAGAACGGUUGUCAGUUGAGAACCAGUGGACCAAUGGAGACUUUUAUCCCGCCCCCUAAUCUGCAUUUUUUUUUAUUUGCACAAAUGAGCAACUUGGAAAAGAGAGCGAAGAAAUCUGAAGCGUGAAUAAAGAGAAAAUUUCAUUAUGAGCAAAGAAAGCAAGGAAAAUAAAAUUUUCUUUUUAAUUCCUAGAAUUUUGUGUCCUUUUAGUUUCUUUUCUAAUUUUUUAAAUUUUGUGUUCAAUUCUGUGAUUUGCGAGAUUUAUAUUUGUUUUACAACAAUCAUACUUUUGGUGUAAAAUUGACACCACAGACUUUCAUUGCCUUCAAAUCCCCACAUUGCAACAUGUUCAGUUCACUCUUCUACACAGACAUCUGUUUCUCCUCAGACAGGGAAAACCCCUGGAGAACAGCCAAGACUCUAGCUGUAUUCAAAUGAAGACUGAAGACAUUAAAAACAUUGCAAAAACAUCAUUUGUGUGUUUUCUUGCUGUGAGAAAUCCUCUCUAAAAGAGCUUUUGCUUGCUGCCAUUAUUACAAAGUUCUUAUUCAAGACCGUGAACAAUCUGACUCAAAUCACAUAACCCACACUCAUGAGAACCCUUGGGUUGGUCUUUAGACUUCUUGAAGCUCUCAACCUGGCCCUGAAGUUCUGCUUUCUCUUGUGAGACUCUUUUUUGUCUUCUGAAAAGCAGUAACAACUCUGGAGAAUGAAGGAGGACCAGUUCUCCUUUGUUCAAGCUGAAACUAUAUUGAUGUGAGGGCACUGUCCCAACAUCCCCUACAAAACUGUUUCAGCCAGUGUCAAUCAGCCUCAUGAUAGCAGAGACAUCAACUCUCAUUAUGGCAGGAUUAAAUUGCAGAAUUGUUUAACAUCUUACACCAUAGCAAUGGCUGAAUCUAAAAGGUCAUGGUAAUCUCUGGGUUUAGAGGUUCUGAUAGAACACUGGGCCCAGAUUGAGGCCCAAUGGUCUCAAUCAUUUUUCUGGAUCAGGCAAGGUCAGAAACAGAAAGAUCUUUUAGAACACUUUUGUGCUGUUUGUCAGAAUUAACAUGACAUAUUUCCUGGGCAAGGGGACUUCCAAGCAAGAAAAAAAAAUUAAAACUCAUCUUGAAAGGAGCGUGCACAUAAGAAACAGCUUCCUCACUUUUCACAAUAUGUUCAACUACAACACGCUGUACCUCUGGAGGAUUCACAUCAGGCACUGACACUCUCCACACUUCUUCUCUGUUCACAUCGUCACUCUGAUUACACGUUAAUUUGGCUCUUAAAUUCACAAUAUAAGAAUUAAAGAACAGGUUAAAACUGUACAUGAAAGUUUUGAAGCUUGAAUUUAUUUUCAACCUUGAAUUGAUGUUCAACUGGAAAGGAUUACUAAAACAAGACUAAAAUCUAAACUUCCUGUAGAGGCAGAGAUGGACAGUAACGAAGUACAUUUACUUGAGUACUGUACUUAAGUACACGUUUUGAGUAUUAUUUUUUCUGGAAACUUGUUACUUUAACUUUACUCCAUUUGAAAGACAAAUAUUGUACUUUUUACUCCACUACAUUUCUGUCAAGGUCACUGAGUAGAAAGUAGUUACGUUAAUCAGAGGAUGAUUUUUUUCACUCUUGUAGCGUCACGUGUCGUGAAGUUCAGUGGUUUUCCGUCAUUUUUUUAACUCAAUUGACCAAAGGCGGUCCUUAAUGCCUGUUGCUGAUACCGCGAAGUUCAGGAUUUGAGCUUCACGUCGUUCGCCAUUUUAAGUUCACCAAUCAUCUAGUAACAGAUGGCAAAAGGAUUUUCCUGCACCCUGUGUGAAGCUUUUCUAAAGAAUCUCACAUGACUCUAUUUGACUCAUCUCCACAAACCAGGAAACGGUGUAUCAAGUCAUUUCUUCAUUCUAAGAUUCAUGAUCUGUUUUGUCUAGUUAAUCAUUAUAUUUUACUUAUGAACAACUUGUCCUAUGUUCACCAGGAUUACUAAAACAAGACUAAAAUCAUAUGAAUCUCAAUAAUGACAAAAGAUGGAUGAGUUCAGAACUGUCAUUUUUAUUACAAGUUCAAUGAGUUUACAAAUCUCUGAACACCAGACUAAUAUGGAAAUUUUGAGGGCUGCAAGGGGAGGUUUCUGUUCCUGUGCUCUCUUCAUCUUCUUAUGUCGAUCUUUCCAUUCGAUGCUCUUUCGUUGUUGUUGCUUCAUCAUUGACAUUGUGAACAUUUUCUUCUCAAAUUUAGUUAUACAGUGUAACAAAUAUACAAGGCUCGGUGGAAUGGGAUACACACAGAACAAAAAAAUGGUAAGAAUGAAAUACAACUUGUGUAUUUAUACAUAAUUUUAUAUUUUUCUGUGUUGUAUCUUGUAAGUGACUAAUCUGCUGUAACAUAAGAAUUUCCCUCAUGGGAUCAAUAAACUAUAUCUAUCUAGCUAUCUACAACUUAUAUUUCUGGUGUUCAGACCCAGGGUAGAAACUGUUGAGAUAUUGUAGAACAGAAACCAUAAAUCUGUGAAGGAUCUCCAGGGAAUGUAAUGCAGCCCCGAUAUAUGCCAAUCAUUUCAUCUUUAGCGUUGAAAAUAGGAGACCCACUGUCUCCACUAUUACCUGCUACAGAUAUUAUAAACUCAUCGGUACAGGAUUGUGCCUUCAUGCCUAAAUUUUGAGGGAGUAUUUUACCAUCCUGCCUCUGAAAAUUCCAGUUCUGAGAUAAAGUGUAAAAGUAUAUAUUGUCAGUAUCCUUCACGUUACCAAUCUGACUAUGUAGACCAGGACCAAGUGGAGUAGUAUCUCCAAACAAUUUAAUAAAGGCUUGAUCUCUGUUCGGAUCCGUCUUACAGGAUUUUGUGAAGCAAGCCUUAUAGAUCAGUGCUUUGUUUUCCGUAGAGAAAAUACUCAGUAUCUCUGAGUUUGCUGCGUCCUCAGUGACAUGUAGGGCAGUAAGGAUAUGCCCGUCCCCGUAGUAACAGCCCAGACCACGAGUGACUGUUUUUGAUGUAAUAAUUUCUAUCAAGCAAGGUUGUUUCGCUCUGAUCAUAGGUUGUAAUUCAUCAUUAUAUUCUUUUAAUGUGUUGUUCAUAAGAAGUAUGGGUCCGUUUGAAUAUUGUAAUUUUUCUAGACAUUGUUUUGUAAUAUCUGGUUUAUGCAAGUAAUAAUUCUGUAAAUGAGUCAUAUUGAUAGCACUGAAAUGAAAUGGAAUGGAACGCUGAAAGAACUGUCCACACGUCCGCGUCCGAAGCGCUGUGUGCGUCCAGGUCAGAGCCAGGGGUUUUUAUAUGCUCGUUUACUCCGCCCCUCAGCCGCAACCCGCUCAGCUGCAUGUACACGUCAUGUUUUCGAGAAUUUUCUCGAGACUUCUAUGGCAUCAAUUUCACGGCAUAAGUAUCAGUGUCAUAAAAAAAUAUAUAAUAUGCGCUAAUUACAUAAUUGAGUACAAAAUGUGAAAAAUAACAAGAAAAACAAACUAAAAGAAAAGAACACAAAAUAAUAGGAAUUGAAAAAAACUAAAUUUUAUUUUCCUUGCCUACUUUCUUACUGGCUAGAGAACGGUUGUCAGUUGAGAACCAGUGGACCAAUGGAGACUUUUAUCCUGCCCCCUAAUCUGCAUUUUUUUUUAUUUGCACAAAUGAGCAACUUGGAAAAGAGAGCGAAGAAAUCUGAAGCGUGAAUAAAGAGAAAAUUUCAUUAUGAGCAAAGAAAGCAAGGAAAAUAAAAUUUUCUUUUUAAUUCCUAGAAUUUUGUGUCCUUUUAGUUUCUUUUCUAAUUUUUUAAAUUUUGUGUUCAAUUCUGUGAUUUGCGAGAUUUAUAUUUGUUUUACAACAAUCAUACUUUUGGUGUAAAAUUGACACCACAGACUUUCAUUGCCUUCAAAUCCCCACAUUGCAACAUGUUCAGUUCACUCUUCUACACAGACAUCUGUUUCUCCUCAGACAGGGAAAACCCCUGGAGAACAGCCAAGACUCUAGCUGUAUUCAAAUGAAGACUGAAGACAUUAAAAACAUUGCAAAAACAUCAUUUGUGUGUUUUCUUGCUGUGAGAAAUCCUCUCUAAAAGAGCUUUUGCUUGCUGCCAUUAUUACAAAGUUCUUAUUCAAGACCGUGAACAAUCUGACUCAAAUCACAUAACCCACACUCAUGAGAACCCUUGGGUUGGUCUUUAGACUUCUUGAAGCUCUCAACCUGGCCCUGAAGUUCUGCUUUCUCUUGUGAGACUCUUUUUUGUCUUCUGAAAAGCAGUAACAACUCUGGAGAAUGAAGGAGGACCAGUUCUCCUUUGUUCAAGCUGAAACUAUAUUGAUGUGAGGGCACUGUCCCAACAUCCCCUACAAAACUGUUUCAGCCAGUGUCAAUCAGCCUCAUGAUAGCAGAGACAUCAACUCUCAUUAUGGCAGGAUUAAAUUGCAGAAUUGUUUAACAUCUUACACCAUAGCAAUGGCUGAAUCUAAAAGGUCAUGGUAAUCUCUGGGUUUAGAGGUUCUGAUAGAACACUGGGCCCAGAUUGAGGCCCAAUGGUCUCAAUCAUUUUUCUGGAUCAGGCAAGGUCAGAAACAGAAAGAUCUUUUAGAACACUUUUGUGCUGUUUGUCAGAAUUAACAUGACAUAUUUCCUGGGCAAGGGGACUUCCAAGCAAGAAAAAAAAAUUAAAACUCAUCUUGAAAGGAGCGUGCACAUAAGAAACAGCUUCCUCACUUUUCACAAUAUGUUCAACUACAACACGCUGUACCUCUGGAGGAUUCACAUCAGGCACUGACACUCUCCACACUUCUUCUCUGUUCACAUCGUCACUCUGAUUACACGUUAAUUUGGCUCUUAAAUUCACAAUAUAAGAAUUAAAGAACAGGUUAAAACUGUACAUGAAAGUUUUGAAGCUUGAAUUUAUUUUCAACCUUGAAUUGAUGUUCAACUGGAAAGGAUUACUAAAACAAGACUAAAAUCUAAACUUCCUGUAGAGGCAGAGAUGGACAGUAACGAAGUACAUUUACUUGAGUACUGUACUUAAGUACACGUUUUGAGUAUUAUUUUUUCUGGAAACUUGUUACUUUAACUUUACUCCAUUUGAAAGACAAAUAUUGUACUUUUUACUCCACUACAUUUCUGUCAAGGUCACUGAGUAGAAAGUAGUUACGUUAAUCAGAGGAUGAUUUUUUUCACUCUUGUAGCGUCACGUGUCGUGAAGUUCAGUGGUUUUCCGUCAUUUUUUAACUCAAUUGACCAAAGGCGGUCCUUAAUGCCUGUUGCUGAUACCGCGAAGUUCAGGAUUUGAGCUUCACGUCGUUCGCCAUUUUAAGUUCAGUAAGUAAAAUUAUUAUGUAGGUAUAAACUUGAAAAAUAUGAUUUUAAUUGUGAAAUUUGUUAGUUUAAAUAUUCAUGGUACAUUUCUAUAAUAAAGGACAACCCAGCCAUCAUUACAAAUUCUCCAAAAACACUUUACAUUACAUUACAAAGAACAUCAGCUAUUACAAAUGCACCAGGACACAUCUGUGACUUCAUACAUGAAUUCAGAUGAAGAGUUUUACUCUUUUUCUUCUGAAAUUUCCAUUUCAAGUGUAAAAGUAUACACUUUUCAGAUUCAUUUAUUUUACCCGUCUGAGUCGAUUUUUUUCAUCUGUUGCACGAUUUUGUAAAUUCAACCUUAUAGAUCAGCCACAUGUCUCCAGCAUAAAAAAGAUGAACAUUUCUGAGACAUAUACGUCCUCAAAAACACGUAAAGCAGUCUAAACAUGACCGAAAUAACUUUGUUUAUGAUGCAUGGUGAUUGUCAGCUCCAUGCUGGGAACAAAUUCAUGAAUUUGUCCAUUUCUAUAAAUCAUAGGACCAUUAGUUAAUUGAAAAAUAUUAAAAAUUCGUAUCAAACUGAGUCAUCUUGAGAAAUUAAAUGCUGUAAAUGUUUGCGUGAAAUCAAAAAAUAUGUAAAACCUGUAAAUGAAAAAAAAAAAGAUUCUAAAAUGACAACUUUUAAGUGUCUGCCAAAUAAUUUGUUUAAAAACUUUAGGAGACACUCACCAAUUUCACGGAAGUUGUUUCAAGCCGACGACUGACACGAAAAAACCUAAUCUGAUUGUUUUUUUUUGUCUGUUGCCAGCCAAUCAUCUAGUAACAGAUGGCAAAAGGAUUUUCCUGCACCCUGUGUGAAGCUUUUCUAAAGAAUCUCACAUGACUCUAUUUGACUCAUCUCCACAAACCAGGAAACGGUGUAUCAAGUCAUUUCUUCAUUCUAAGAUUCAUGAUCUGUUUUGUCUAGUUAAUCAUUAUAUUUUACUUAUGAACAACUUGUCCUAUGUUCACCAGGAUUACUAAAACAAGACUAAAAUCAUAUGAAUCUCAAUAAUGACAAAAGAUGGAUGAGUUCAGAACUGUCAUUUUUAUUACAAGUUCAAUGAGUUUACAAAUCUCUGAACACCAGACUAAUAUGGAAAUUUUGAGGGCUGCAAGGGGAGGUUUCUGUUCCUGUGCUCUCUUCAUCUUCUUAUGUCGAUCUUUCCAUUCAAUGCUCUUUCGUUGUUGUUGCUUCAUCAUUGACAUUGUGAACAUUUUCUUCUCAAAUUUAGUUAUACAGUGUAACAAAUAUACAAGGCUCGGUGGAAUGGGAUACACACAGAACAAAAAAAUGGUAAGAAUGAAAUACAACUUGUGUAUUUAUACAUAAUUUUAUAUUUUUCUGUGUUGUAUCUUGUAAGUGACUAAUCUGCUGUAACAUAAGAAUUUCCCUCAUGGGAUCAAUAAACUAUAUCUAUCUAGCUAUCUACAACUUAUAUUUCUGGUGUUCAGACCCAGGGUAGAAACUGUUGAGAUAUUGUAGAACAGAAACCAUAAAUCUGUGAAGGAUCUCCAGGGAAUGUAAUGCAGCCCCGAUAUAUGCCAAUCAUUUCAUCUUUAGCGUUGAAAAUAGGAGACCCACUGUCUCCACUAUUACCUGCUACAGAUAUUAUAAACUCAUCGGUACAGGAUUGUGCCUUCAUGCCUAAAUUUUGAGGGAGUAUUUUACCAUCCUGCCUCUGAAAAUUCCAGUUCUGAGAUAAAGUGUAAAAGUAUAUAUUGUCAGUAUCCUUCACGUUACCAAUCUGACUAUGUAGACCAGGACCAAGUGGAGUAGUAUCUCCAAACAAUUUAAUAAAGGCUUGAUCUCUGUUCGGAUCCGUCUUACAGGAUUUUGUGAAGCAAGCCUUAUAGAUCAGUGCUUUGUUUUCCGUAGAGAAAAUACUCAGUAUCUCUGAGUUUGCUGCGUCCUCAGUGACAUGUAGGGCAGUAAGGAUAUGCCCGUCCCCGUAGUAACAGCCCAGACCACGAGUGACUGUUUUUGAUGUAAUAAUUUCUAUCAAGCAAGGUUGUUUCGCUCUGAUCAUAGGUUGUAAUUCAUCAUUAUAUUCUUUUAAUGUGUUGUUCAUAAGAAGUAUGGGUCCAUUUGAAUAUUGUAAUUUUUCUAGACAUUGUUUUGUAAUAUUUGGUUUAUGCAAGUAAUAAUUCUGUAAAUGAGUCAUAUUGAUAGCACUGAAAUGAAAUGGAAUGGAACGCUGAAAGAACUGUCCACACGUCCGCGUCCGAAGCACUGUGUGCGUCCAGGUCAGAGCCAGGGGUUUUUAUAUGCUCGUUUACUCCGCCCCUCAGCCGCAACCCGCUCAGCUGCAUGUACACGUCAUGUUUUCGAGAAUUUUCUCGAGACUUCUAUGGCAUCAAUUUCACGGCAUAAGUAUCAGUGUCAUAAAAAAAUAUAUAAUAUGCGCUAAUUACAUAAUUGAGUACAAAAUGUGAAAAAUAACAAGAAAAACAAACUAAAAGAAAAGAACACAAAAUAAUAGGAAUUGAAAAAAACUAAAUUUUAUUUUCCUUGCCUACUUUCUUACUGGCUAGAGAACGGUUGUCAGUUGAGAACCAGUGGACCAAUGGAGACUUUUAUCCUGCCCCCUAAUCUGCAUUUUUUUUUAUUUGCACAAAUGAGCAACUUGGAAAAGAGAGCGAAGAAAUCUGAAGCGUGAAUAAAGAGAAAAUUUCAUUAUGAGCAAAGAAAGCAAGGAAAAUAAAAUUUUCUUUUUAAUUCCUAGAAUUUUGUGUCCUUUUAGUUUCUUUUCUAAUUUUUUAAAUUUUGUGUUCAAUUCUGUGAUUUGCGAGAUUUAUAUUUGUUUUACAACAAUCAUACUUUUGGUGUAAAAUUGACACCACAGACUUUCAUUGCCUUCAAAUCCCCACAUUGCAACAUGUUCAGUUCACUCUUCUACACAGACAUCUGUUUCUCCUCAGACAGGGAAAACCCCUGGAGAACAGCCAAGACUCUAGCUGUAUUCAAAUGAAGACUGAAGACAUUAAAAACAUUGCAAAAACAUCAUUUGUGUGUUUUCUUGCUGUGAGAAAUCCUCUCUAAAAGAGCUUUUGCUUGCUGCCAUUAUUACAAAGUUCUUAUUCAAGACCGUGAACAAUCUGACUCAAAUCACAUAACCCACACUCAUGAGAACCCUUGGGUUGGUCUUUAGACUUCUUGAAGCUCUCAACCUGGCCCUGAAGUUCUGCUUUCUCUUGUGAGACUCUUUUUUGUCUUCUGAAAAGCAGUAACAACUCUGGAGAAUGAAGGAGGACCAGUUCUCCUUUGUUCAAGCUGAAACUAUAUUGAUGUGAGGGCACUGUCCCAACAUCCCCUACAAAACUGUUUCAGCCAGUGUCAAUCAGCCUCAUGAUAGCAGAGACAUCAACUCUCAUUAUGGCAGGAUUAAAUUGCAGAAUUGUUUAACAUCUUACACCAUAGCAAUGGCUGAAUCUAAAAGGUCAUGGUAAUCUCUGGGUUUAGAGGUUCUGAUAGAACACUGGGCCCAGAUUGAGGCCCAAUGGUCUCAAUCAUUUUUCUGGAUCAGGCAAGGUCAGAAACAGAAAGAUCUUUUAGAACACUUUUGUGCUGUUUGUCAGAAUUAACAUGACAUAUUUCCUGGGCAAGGGGACUUCCAAGCAAGAAAAAAAAAUUAAAACUCAUCUUGAAAGGAGCGUGCACAUAAGAAACAGCUUCCUCACUUUUCACAAUAUGUUCAACUACAACACGCUGUACCUCUGGAGGAUUCACAUCAGGCACUGACACUCUCCACACUUCUUCUCUGUUCACAUCGUCACUCUGAUUACACGUUAAUUUGGCUCUUAAAUUCACAAUAUAAGAAUUAAAGAACAGGUUAAAACUGUACAUGAAAGUUUUGAAGCUUGAAUUUAUUUUCAACCUUGAAUUGAUGUUCAACUGGAAAGGAUUACUAAAACAAGACUAAAAUCUAAACUUCCUGUAGAGGCAGAGAUGGACAGUAACGAAGUACAUUUACUUGAGUACUGUACUUAAGUACACGUUUUGAGUAUUAUUUUUUCUGGAAACUUGUUACUUUAACUUUACUCCAUUUGAAAGACAAAUAUUGUACUUUUUACUCCACUACAUUUCUGUCAAGGUCACUGAGUAGAAAGUAGUUACGUUAAUCAGAGGAUGAUUUUUUUCACUCUUGUAGCGUCACGUGUCGUGAAGUUCAGUGGUUUUCCGUCAUUUUUUUAACUCAAUUGACCAAAGGCGGUCCUUAAUGCCUGUUGCUGAUACCGCGAAGUUCAGGAUUUGAGCUUCACGUCGUUCGCCAUUUUAAGUUCAGUAAGUAAAAUUAUUAUGUAGGUAUAAACUUGAAAAAUAUGAUUUUAAUUGUGAAAUUUGUUAGUUUAAAUAUUCAUGGUACAUUUCUAUAAUAAAGGACAACCCAGCCAUCAUUACAAAUUCUCCAAAAACACUUUACAUUACAUUACAAAGAACAUCAGCUAUUACAAAUGCACCAGGACACAUCUGUGACUUCAUACAUGAAUUCAGAUGAAGAGUUUUACUCUUUUUCUUCUGAAAUUUCCAUUUCAAGUGUAAAAGUAUACACUUUUCAGAUUCAUUUAUUUUACCAAACUGAGUAAUUUUUUUUAUCUGUUGUAUGAUUUUCUAAAUUCAACCUUAUAGAUCAGCCACAUGUCUCCAGCAUAAAAAAGAUGAACAUUUCUGAGACAUAUACGUCCUCAAAAACACGUAAAGCAGUCUAAACAUGACCGAAAUAACUUUGUUUAUGAUGCAUGGUGAUUGUCAGCUCCAUGCUGGGAACAAAUUCAUGAAUUUGUCCAUUUCUAUAAAUCAUAGGACCAUUAGUUAAUUGAAAAAUAUUAAAAAUUCGUAUCAAACUGAGUCAUCUUGAGAAAUUAAAUGCUGUAAAUGUUUGCGUGAAAUCAAAAAAUAUGUAAAACCUGUAAAUGAAAAAAAAAAGAUUCUAAAAUGACAACUUUUAAGUGUCUGCCAAAUAAUUUGUUUAAAAACUUUAGGAGACACUCACCAAUUUCACGGAAGUUGUUUCAAGCCGACGACUGACACGAAAAAACCUAAUCUGAUUGUUUUUUUUUGUCUGUUGCCAGCCAAUCAUCUAGUAACAGAUGGCAAAAGGAUUUUCCUGCACCCUGUGUGAAGCUUUUCUAAAGAAUCUCACAUGACUCUAUUUGACUCAUCUCCACAAACCAGGAAACGGUGUAUCAAGUCAUUUCUUCAUUCUAAGAUUCAUGAUCUGUUUUGUCUAGUUAAUCAUUAUAUUUUACUUAUGAACAACUUGUCCUAUGUUCACCAGGAUUACUAAAACAAGACUAAAAUCAUAUGAAUCUCAAUAAUGACAAAAGAUGGAUGAGUUCAGAACUGUCAUUUUUAUUACAAGUUCAAUGAGUUUACAAAUCUCUGAACACCAGACUAAUAUGGAAAUUUUGAGGGCUGCAAGGGGAGGUUUCUGUUCCUGUGCUCUCUUCAUCUUCUUAUGUCGAUCUUUCCAUUCGAUGCUCUUUCGUUGUUGUUGCUUCAUCAUUGACAUUGUGAACAUUUUCUUCUCAAAUUUAGUUAUACAGUGUAACAAAUAUACAAGGCUCGGUGGAAUGGGAUACAUACAGAACAAAAAAAUGGUAAGAAUGAAAUACAACUUGUGUAUUUAUACAUAAUUUUAUAUUUUUCUGUGUGUUGUAUCUUGUAAGUGACUAAUCUGCCGUAACAUAAGAAUUUCCCUCAUGGGAUCAAUAAAGUAUAUCUAUCUAGCUAUCUACAACUUAUAUUUCUGGUGUUCAGACCCAGGGUAGAAACUGUUGAGAUAUUGUAGUACAGAAACCAUAAAUCUGUGAAGGAUCUCCAGGGAAUGUAAUGCACCCCCGAUAUAUGCCAAUCAUUUCAUCUUUAGCGUUGAAAAUAGGAGACCCACUGUCUCCACUAUUACCUGCUACAGAUAUUAUAAACUCAUCGGUACAGGAUUGUGCCUUCAUGCCUAAAUUUUGAGGGAGUAUUUUACCAUCCUGCCUCUGAAAAUUCCAGUUCUGAGAUAAAGUGUAAAAGUAUAUAUUGUCAGUAUCCUUCACGUUACCAAUCUGACUAUGUAGACCAGGACCAAGUGGAGUAGUAUCUCCGAACAAUUUAAUAAAAGCUUGAUCUCUGUUCGGAUCCGUCUUACAGGAUUUUGUGAAGCAAGCCUUAUAGAUCAGUGCUUUGUUUUCCGUAGAGAAAAUACUCAGUAUCUCUGAGUUUGCUGCGUCCUCAGUGACAUGUAGGGCAGUAAGGAUAUGCCCGUCCCCGUAGUAACAGCCCAGACCACGAGUGACUGUUUUUGAUGUAAUAAUUUCUAUCAAGCAAGGUUGUUUCGCUCUGAUCAUAGGUUGUAAUUCAUCAUUAUAUUCUUUUAAUGUGUUGUUCAUAAGAAGUAUGGGUCCGUUUGAAUAUUGUAAUUUUUCUAGACAUUGUUUUGUAAUAUCUGGUUUAUGCAAGUAAUAAUUCUGUAAAUGAGUCAUAUUGAUAGCACUGAAAUGAAAUGGAAUGGAACGCUGAAAGAACUGUCCACACGUCCGCGUCCGAAGCGCUGUGUGCGUCCAGGUCAGAGCCAGGGGUUUUUAUAUGCUCGUUUACUCCGCCCCUCAGCCACAACCCGCUCAGCUGCAUGUACACGUCAUGUUUUCGAGAAUUUUCUCGAGACUUCUAUGGCAUCAAUUUCACGGCAUAAGUAUCAGUGUCAUAAAAAAAAUAUAUAAUAUGCGCUAAUUACAUAAUUGAGUACAAAAUGUGAAAAAUAACAAGAAAAACAAACUAAAAGAAAAGAACACAAAAUAAUAGGAAUUGAAAAAAACUAAAUUUUAUUUUCCUUGCCUACUUUCUUACUGGCUAGAGAACGGUUGUCAGUUGAGAACCAGUGGACCAAUGGAGACUUUUAUCCCGCCCCCUAAUCUGCAUUUUUUUUUAUUUGCACAAAUGAGCAACUUGGAAAAGAGAGCGAAGAAAACUGAAGCGUGAAUAAACACAAAAUUUCAUUAUGAGCAAAGAAAGCAAGGAAAAUAAAAUUUUCUUUUUAAUUCCUAGAAUUUUGUGUCCUUUUAGUUUCUUUUCUAAUUUUUUAAAUUUUGUGUUCAAUUCUGUGAUUUGCGAGAUUUAUAUUUGUUUUACAACAAUCAUACUUUUGGUGUAAAAUUGACACCACAGACUUUCAUUGCCUUCAAAUCCCCACAUUGCAACAUGUUCAGUUCACUCUUCUACACAGACAUCUGUUUCUCCUCAGACAGGGAAAACCCCUGGAGAACAGCCAAGACUCUAGCUGUAUUCAAAUGAAGACUGAAGACAUUAAAAACAUUGCAAAAACAUCAUUUGUGUGUUUUCUUGCUGUGAGAAAUCCUCUCUAAAAGAGCUUUUGCUUGCUGCCAUUAUUACAAAGUUCUUAUUCAAGACCGUGAACAAUCUGACUCAAAUCACAUAACCCACACUCAUGAGAACCCUUGGGUUGGUCUUUAGACUUUUUAAAUCUCUCACCCUGGCCCUGAAGUUCUUUGUUUGUCUUCUGAAAAGCAGUAACAACUCUGGAGAAAGGAUCAGUUUUUCUUUGUUCAAGCUGAAACUAUAUUGAGAUACAAAACCGUUUCAGUCAGUGUCAAUCAGCCUCACUACAGCAGACACACCACCUCUCUUUAUGACCAGAUUACUUGUACAAUUGUUUAACAUCUUACACCAUGGAAAAAGCUGAAUCUAAAAAGUCAAGUUUAUCUCUGGGUGUAGAGGUUCUGACAGAACACUGGGCCCAAAUUGGGACACAAUGGUCUCAAUAAUUUUUCUGGACCAGGCGAGGUUAGAAACAGAAAGAUCUUGUAGAACACUUUUGUGCUGUUUCUCAAAAUGAACAUGACUUAUUUCCUGGGUGAGGGGACUUCCAAGCAAGAAAAAAAAUAAAACUCAUCUUGAAAGGAGCGUGCACAUAAGAAACAGCUUCCUCACUUUUUAAAAUAAAAUAUGUAUAGGAUUCACAUCAGGCACUGACACUCUUCACAUUUCUUCUAUGUUCACAUCAGCACUCCGAUUACAAAUUAAUUUAAUUAAUGUAUGUAAAUGCAAGAAAUGGGAUUCAAAUUGAAAACUUCCACCAUUUUGGACAUGUCCCCCAUGUCCCCACUGGAAAUUACGCCCCUGCUCUUGGCAGAGUGGAGGGCAGAGGCAAUGAAAAGAGCAACCUGAAUAGAAAAAGAAAAUCACAGCAACUCCCGAGAAAGGGUGCAUGCAACUGAGUGUUGUUUGAGUCCCAGGUACAACAAGCUGCCACUGCUGGGCCCCUGAGCAAGGCCCUUAAACCUCAAUUGCUUAUUUGUAUAAAAAUGAAUGAGUAAGGGUAUCUGCCAAAUGUAAGUGUUAUUUAUUGAUCCUGCAUAAGAAAAGUCAUUGCUAAAUCUUAUAGUAGAAUUCAAAUUUUAUUAAAGGAAUAGAACUUCAUAAAAACCUAGGAAUAAAAAGAAAAAUGAUAAACCAGGUCAUAAGUAUUAGAAUUAGGCUUAGUCGGUAAACUUGAUCUACUUAAUGAAAAACAAAAAAAUGAUUUCUGUUGUUGGUGAAAUGGUGGAACUUUAGUGUUUAUUUGUAAGCAGUUGGUGUCUGUAGUAUAUAGUUAAAGCUUUUACUAGAGUUCCAAUACUAACUGAACACUUUAUUUAGAUAAGAUUGAAGACAUGUUCAUGACUCAAAAACAAAUGAUUAAAAUCACAAAGUUGGUUAUAAAACUUUCAAUAAAAGGAAAAUAAAACCCUUCAACUCAGUUAUCAAAAUCAAAGUUCAAAAAAUAAAUGUUGUAUUUAGGUGUGUUUCGUUUAUUCAGAGCUGGAAUAAAAACUUCCUCACUGUGGCAAUAACAGCAGCAAGCGAAAACUGUUAGAAAGAAUUUCUCACAGCAAGAAAUCACAGAAAUAAUGCAAAAAUAUGUUUCUAAAAUCUUCAGUGUUCAUUUGAAUAGUAUCUUGGUUGUUC